GACCGGCGAGGACCCUGAAGUCCUGCUGUCUGAAACCAUCAGACAUUUUCACCUCUAUACUCAGAAAGCACAGAAUGACCCCCAGCGAGCAAGCAUCAUGGCUGCUCUCAAGCAUCUAAGACGAGAACUGCGAAGUCUGAGAAAUACUAAAGAGGUCUGAGCCAGCCAGGGGGUAGCUCUGCUUACCGCUCCACUUCCAAAGUUUCUAGUCCAAGAGUUUUCCCCUCAAGUAAAGAAGCAGCACCACAGAAGGGGAGACCUCAGCAUCUCCUGGGUAAAGCUAUCAAGUGCAGCAGAAAGAAAGUAAUGGCUGAAAUGUAGGCCUUAUGCAAAAUCCUCUUUAUCUCACGUUGCCAAAUUAGCAUGUCCAUGGGAAGCGUUCAUAAGCAUCUGCAGUCCUCACAGAGCGACUGACCAUAGGUUCUAGAUGAGAAGGAACUGUCUCCACAGACCUAAACCGUUGGCCACCCUUACUGGGAUCCAAAGCUGAACCACUGGAAGAAACUUUAAUGCUUGCAGUUGUGGCUUAGCUGUGAAAGUGCUAAAAAACUAAAGCUAUCACACAGCUUGGGAAAUGAGACCAGGAUUCUCUGCCCUGGCGAAUCGCCCACCACCCAGAACCUCAAGUAUCCCAAAAGACAAGAAGGCCCCUUGACACAGCUGUACCAAGUCCUGAACCCCAAUAUGGGAAAUAUUGAAGAUUUUGAGGACCCAAAUCGUCUUACCAUGUCAUCCUUCAAGAUCAGCUUUGAAAGGAAGAAGCUAAAGUUAAAAGGACACUUUUAAAGCUCUUGAAUUAAAAAGAAAAAAAAAAGCAAA
rnacentral:lncRNA from 1 species